GCCCGAUUGGCUCAGUGGUAGAGUUUCAAGUGCCCUUACCUAAAUGGGGGCCUUGAAGACCGCAAGUUCGAUUCUUGCAUCGGGCU